UACGUAGGGGGGCGAGCGUUGUCCGGAUUUAUUGGGCGUAAAGAGCUCGUAGGCGGUUUGGUAAGUCGGGUGUGAAAUCUCCACGCUCAACGUGGAGGGGCCACUCGAUACUGCCAUGACUCGAGUCCGGUAGAGGAGUGUGGAAUUCCCGGUGUAGCGGUGAAAUGCGCAGAUAUCGGGAGGAACACCCGUAGCGAAGGCGGCACUCUGGGCCGAUACUGACGCUGAGGAGCGAAAGCGUGGGGAGCGAACAGG
rnacentral:rRNA from 1 species